CAGACUUGGCAUUUAUUUAACUUAAUUCCAAUAUCCGAAACACCAUGUCAUUAAUUGCCGUUUCGAGACAACACAAAUUAAUGUCAAAAAGAAAUGUUGAAAACAUCUGGAGACUUGUAUGACAUACUAGCAUUAGCAGUGCUAUAUUAAUUGGCUUUUCAAAUGCUUUUCAUGUUUUUAGCAUGGAAUCUCCAAUCCAACGGACUAAAAUAAAAACAAAACAAUCAUUGAGCCAUCUCUGCACUCUAGCUUGCCAUUGAAAAAAAUACAUACACAUCAGUUCCACACACGCCAACAGAUUUUUAUAUCAAACCAUGUCCACAUUGAACUUUGAUUCUUUGUGAGGUCUAGCUUGAGCUUGUGGCAGCAACAUUUCCUUAUUUUUUUACUUUCCAGUAGAUGUUGGAGCAGAGUUGAAUUGCCCCAUGCUUGAUGUGCAUUCCCAGGGCUGUGUAUUAAAUGCUUCAUUAUUGGGGCAAGAGAACAUUAGUUUCCAAAUUCACUAAUCACCACCACUGGAGUGUGGGUGUGAUGUCUGCUUCUGGCUGAAUGCCCACUUGUGUUCUGUGGGCUGACAAAGACGGAAUUGUAAUUGUAAAAAUAAACAGUAAUCAUUUGUCCCUUGGUAUAAAUGUCAGGAAAGGAGUGUUUUCUUGCACCAAUUUUAACAAAAUAUUGGUGUUGGUCUUUUUUUAUUAUCCCCACCUUUCUUGAAAGCUAAUCGCCGCUUGUAGGGUCUUUUUGCCAGUUAUAACAUGUACAGAUAGAAUUCAACAUUCACACAUUGUGAAGAAAGGCAACUAUGUGCAAGAUGUCAUCAUGUUACAAACCAAACCAAGAGCUCAUUUACCACUAAAGUAUCCUCGCUUACACCUAAAGAGUCAACAAUGAAAACGUUUGCAGAAAAUACCAGUUGUGAAAUUAGUGUUAUACAUUUGGAACUGUAAACAAAAUGGAGUAAGAAACACGUUAAAUGUGCAAUGGCAGCACGGUUUGUGAACUUUAAACCAACAUAUGUAAUUACACUUUAAUUGUACUCUAAUAUACAAUAAAGAGGCAAACCACACCCUCCCUUAAAGAGUGCGGAGAAACCAUUCAGACUAAACAACCGUCUCACACAUAAAUGUUUGUUAUGACUUAAAUUACAUUACAAGUCAUUUAGCUGACGCUUUUAUCCAAAGCGACUUACAUUGCAUUUUUAACCCAUGGCUUUUUGCGCUACGUCAACCCCAUUAAAACCGUUAUAACAGCAUGACAUAGCCACGUAGUCUGACAUAAAGACAUUGCUAAUUUUAUUGGCCACUUUGUCGAUCCCACCCUUAAAGACGCUAAUACAGUUAAAACACAAUAUCUGUUGUCUUGGUUGCAAUUUAGAAUCUGGCGGCAAGUCCCAAUCUUUCAGGGGGGGUCCAAUGUAGCGAGGAGAUAUCCACACCAAGACAUUGUUUACAGUCCGACUAGCAACUUGAGGUCAGAAGGAAGUGAGAACGAGUUUCAAUUGAUGGAUGACGACCAACGGCAGUGUGUGUCACAAAUAGCCAGUUUGCACUCAGGUUCUUUGCCGCUUAAAAGCAUAAUGUCUUCACAUUGUGUCAUGGCUAGCUCGACUAGCCGUCCCCUGUAAUGUGAGGGCCCAAAUGCAGACACUGUAGGCAGAGGUAGAAAUGUUGUAGAUCUUCAGGAAAGGAGGGGCACUAGGUAAAGAAAAAGACUGUUAGGAGGGUUGAAAGGAAUGAUUAAUCCAGUGGUGAGGUUGGUAGUCCUUACUGCAGUAGAAGAGAGUCCAGAUAGGAGAGGGGGGUGCUGGCUGUAUGCUGAGGCUAGAGUCUGGUGGGGCGAGCAGGCAGGGAGUGAAACUGAAGGCAGUGAAGGCUCCAAACAUGUAGCAGAUUUCGGCAACGGGAGCUUGACUAGGAGACCAAUGGCGAAAUGUCAAACUCUGAAAACAGCUUCUCUCUGAAGCGAUACGUGGAAGCCGUAUUACCAGUCUAGAAGAAUAAUCUGGCAAAGACUAGAGCUCCUGCAGAUCCUUAAGGGUGUUCAGACGAGGGUCGAUGAUUAACAGAUGUGAUGGCGGGAGUGAUCCAGCCUCCGACCCAGGAAACCUGCCCCGCCCUCACCUAAGACUCUGAAAAAUAGAAAAACAGCCAAGCAUGAUCGUGACACAUUUCAGCAGAGUUCCCACAUUACAGGUGGGCUUUGACUGAAACGUAUGCAACAAAAGUCUGCCCAUACCCAAUUUGACUACAGAAAAAAAUAAACACUCCCCACACCACAAUCUUUGCCUGUUCUGCAUACAUCGGCAAAUAUCUGUUAAUAACAAUGCUAGCAUAAGCAUUGAGAUCACGGCUCUCUUUGAAUGAAAAGCUUGUGUCUUUUCGUAUGCCCAGCCACUACAGUUGCUGCAUUACAGUUUUGUUCUUUUUAUUUCAAUGAAGCUCGGGAUUAGUAUUAUUAGUGACUUAUUAGUAUUAUUGUAUUGUGGCGUUUGCUGAUGGACACGGAGAAAACACUCGGAUUUUAAGAUUUCCGACAACGCCACUUGGGAUAGGCCCAAGACCUUUUAAAGCACACAGGUUCGUUCCACUCAGUAGGCAAGGGCUCGUGGUUCCCAAUUUACAAAAGCAUUUUUAUUCAAUAAAUAUACAUUACCAUAAAAUCUAACAUUCAUCACAAAAGAAAAGAAAACUAAUCGCUAAGGCCUAAAGGUGAGAAGGGCCGGUGAAGGGGAAGGCAAAUUAAUAAAACGAACUUUGAGAAAACAAAACAGAGUUCACCCAGUGAUAGCACAAAAAUCCAAUGGGACUCGACACACGAGGAAGACCACCACCACCCACGCCACCACCACCACCACCAGCCUACGGCCGCUAGGAAGGAUAACCAAAAAAAGAAGGUUACAAGAGAAUUAAACCAAAAAUGUACAACACAGAACAGUUCACAUAAAAAUCGUCCUAAUCAAACAAUUCACGUAACCGAAACAAAAAGAAAAUAAGGGAAACAAACCAAAAGAAAUACAAACUAAAGGAUUAACUACUCAGUCAGCUAGAAUCAAAGAACUACACAGGUCCAAUAGACACGCUAGGUACGUCGUGGCGGAGACCAAACUGUGCACUUAGCAGCAUUUAACAGUGCAGACAGUUACCGACAAAGUUGCAUUUAGCAGCAGGCAAAGUUGCAUUUAGCAGCAGGCAAAGCAGCAGUGGCCCCAAUCAACUGAGUGCGGUCACAUCAAUCACCACCUGUGGAUUUCGGCCAGCUGAUGAGCAUUCCCUGUCAAUGAAAAUAAAGUUAGCAUUGCCAAGCUACAUGUCAAAGCUUUUUGGAAGCUAGUUUUAAAGUCACGUACCGGUUUCCCAGGUCAAACCUGCACAGGGAGAGGGAGGGCGAGAAAGACCCAGACGGCAGGAAGACAUCUACCUGUGACCACACUAACAUUAGCUAAAGAAUAUUGUUCGGUCUAACACGGAGAGAGAGAACGAGAGGACACUCACCACCGGUUGAGAGGAUCAAAGAGCAAAAAGCAGCACGGUGCACGGAGCACUCUGUCG
ensembl:lncRNA